ensembl:lncRNA
CCGCAUGUUCACGGUGCAUUUUUUAUGGAAUAUGUUGAGCAAACCUGGAGAAGCGUCAGCUCAAGAUAUUAUUGUUGUCAUUGCUGUGGAUUUUUACCUGAUACACUGACUUGACUUGAGAUAUGACUGCACUAUGCUGUUGCUGGUGACCACAGUUAAUUCUACAAGACAUGCUGUGACACCAGGAGAGAUGAGUCCUCCGUCACAGAUGGUGUGGUCAGUGAAGAUGGUCGCCUGCAGGUUCAAGUUCAUUGCAUCUCCAACCCACAUCCACUGCCACUGUACUUAAGGGAAGUUAAAGACUUUCUUCUGCACCUACAUUUGGAUCACCUCGAUCCAUGACAGUCAUUCAGGCAGUAAUGCCUGGACUGGAAACAAG